UUUGGGCGUGUCUCCCUUCUCGGGAGACUCUCUCGACCCCACGAACCCUUGACCUCAAAUCGGGUGAGACUACCCGCUGAACUUAAGCAUAUCAAUAAGCGGAGGA
rnacentral:rRNA from 2 species